GACGAACGCUGGCGGCGUGCUUAACACAUGCAAGUCGAGCGGUAAGGCCCUUUCGGGGGUACACGAGCGGCGAACGGGUGAGUAACACGUGGGUGACCUGCCCUCAGCUCUGGGAUAAGCCUGGGAAACCGGGUCUAAUACCGGAUAUGACUCCAUGACGCAUGUUGUGGGGUGGAAAGCCUUGUGCGGCUGAGGAUGGGCCCGCGGCCUAUCAGCUUGUUGGUGGGGUGANGGCCUACCAAGGCGACGACGGGUAGCCGGCCUGAGAGGGCGACCGGCCACACUGGGACUGAGACACGGCCCAGACUCCUACGGGGGCAGCAGUGGGGAAUCUUGCGCAAUGGGCGAAAGCCUGACGCAGCGACGCCGCGUGAGGGAUGAC
rnacentral:rRNA from 1 species